AGGGUAUUUAAAGGUUUUAGAAAUUAAAUUUUAUAUUUUUUCGACAUAGUUUACUUUAUGAUUCAACCAUUUCAAAAUUGUCAAUUUUCAAUGGCUACUAUGACAAGUUUAGAGUUUAACGGUGUAGAAGAAUCUAAAUUUCUUCAAAUUUUGAUAGAAAAUACUUUAAACUAUCUAGAUUAAGGUUAACAUUCUUGAUCUUGAAUUUAAAAGUCCCAUAUUCAAAUUUUAAAGAUUAUUCAAUUUCUACCGUCCAUUUUGACAUAAUUUAUUUACUAAGUAAACGAUGUCGAAAAAAACUAAAAUUUUAUUCCUAAGAACUUCAUAUACCCUAGAUCAUAUUUAACGGUGUGAAUCAUUAAUUUGAACACCCUAAGAUCGAAAACAAGACUAUAGUACCGGAGCUCAGGUACUAUAGAUAGUAUAGUAACGUAAUUAUAUAUAUAUGGAAUAAUUGCCUUUAUACCCCUCAUACAUUUAAAUUAUAUCCGAUUUAUCCCUUUUUUUUUUGUUCUUUCUAAAAUACCCCUCAUAUGUUCCACCGUUAUUGCAAAAUAUCCUCGCAGUUAUCUCCUGUUAAGUUAACUUGGGUUAAACGUGAGUUAAACAUCUACCACAGUUAAAAAAAAAUUUAAAAUGUCAAUUUUGCCCUUAACUUAAGGGCAAAUAAGAAAUGUUGGUAAUGGUAGAGGGGUAUAUUGGAAAAAGACCAAAAGUCAAAAUACUUUUUUGUGCUCCUGAGAGAGAGAGUGUCCGGCUACUAUACUCUAGGCUUCGUUUGGUUCGAUGUUAAGUAAGAACUAGUUAUUCCAGGGAUAGGUAUAAGUUUAGGGCUAUGUAUAGAAUAAACCAAUUUUGUAUUUGGAUAAAAAUUAAGUUAUUCCCGAGAAAAAGAAAAAUAAUAUUUAGAUAGAUAAGAUGGAAUAAGAAAAAUAAUGGAUAAUUAUAAAUAAAAAAUAAUGAUAUUGUUCCUUAUAUUUGAAUUUAAAUUUUUAAAUUUUAUAAUUAAGAUUGUAAAUUUAAAUAUAUAAUUUUAAAAAUUAAAAAAUUCAAAAUAAAAAUUAAAUUUUUAAAUCUCAAAUUCAAAAAUUUAAAGUUCUAAAUUUUGAUUUUAAGAUUAAAUUUAAAUUUAAAAAUAUCAAAUAUCAAAAUUUUAAUUUAGAAAAUUAAAAAUAAUAAUUUAAAAUAUAAAAUUAAUAAUUUAAAAUAAUAAAUAUCAAUUUUAAGCUUACAAAUUUUUAAAUUUUAAAAAAUUUAAAAUAUA
rnacentral:lncRNA from 1 species